rnacentral:rRNA from 1 species
UACGUAGGUGGCGAGCGUUGUCCGGAUUUACUGGGCGUAAAGGGAGCGUAGGCGGACUUUUAAGUGAGACGUGAAAUACCCGGGCUCAACUUGGGUGCUGCAUUUCAAACUGGAAGUCUAGAGUGCAGGAGAGGAGAAUGGAAUUCCUAGUGUAGCGGUGAAAUGCGUAGAGAUUAGGAAGAACACCAGUGGCGAAGGCGAUUCUCUGGACUGUAACUGACGCUGAGGCUCGAAAGCGUGGGGAGCAAACAGGAUUAGAUACCCGUGUAGU